UACGGGGGGAGCAAGCGUUGUUCGGAUUUACUGGGCGUAAAGGGCGCGUAGGCGGCCACCGCAAGUCGGUUGUGAAAUCUCCGGGCUUAACCCGGAAAGGUCAGCCGAUACUGCGGGGCUAGAGUGCAGAAGGGGCAACUGGAAUUCUCGGUGUAGCGGUGAAAUGCGUAGAUAUCGAGAGGAACACCUGCGGCGAAGGCGGGUUGCUGGGCUGACACUGACGCUGAACUGCGAAAGCUAGGGGAGCGAACGGG
rnacentral:rRNA from 1 species